UACGGGGGGGGCAAGCGUUGUUCGGAAUUACUGGGCGUAAAGGGCUCGUAGGCGGCCAACUAAGUCAGACGUGAAAUCCCUCGGCUUAACCGGGGAACUGCAUCUGAUACUGGAUGGCUUGAGUUCGGGAGAGGGAUGCGGAAUUCCAGGUGUAGCGGUGAAAUGCGUAGAUAUCUGGAGGAACACCGAUGGCGAAGGCAAUCCCCUGGGCCUGCACUGACGCUCAUGCACGAAAGCGUGGGGAGCAAACAGG
rnacentral:rRNA from 1 species